GUGAUGGGGCACGCCCUCGGGAAGACAGAGGCCUUCUUUCAGAUUGCUCUGUCCAUUAAGGGUAGUCAUCAGCCAUCAGUCAUCAUUCAUCAGGGAAUGAAAUGUGGCUAGUCCAAACAGGGAUGGCUAAAGGCCUAAAAUCCACAACUGGGUUUUGAACACUUAGUGCAAAACAAGCAUGUAAAUAUCUCCUUAAUGGGUAUAGUAAAUACGGAAAUAUUUUGGCUAUAUUAGAUUAAGUUGUCACCUACUCCUUUUUUAAACAUGGUUAUUAAAUAAUUUAAAAUUACCUAUGUGCCCGUUACAGGCUUUCAUCUGACAGCAUUAUUUUGUGGUUUUUAGCGCAGUAGUGGUUUUGUUAAUUUACGUGCCCUUCAAUGUCCUACCUUUCAGCUGUGAUCCCUGGGCAGCAGAAUCAACAUCACUUGAAGUACGAAAGUGGCACCACACCUGCUCCACCGACCCUAGAUCCCCCGGGUCAGACUCUGCAGUUUAGAUUCCCAGGUAUAUUUUCAAGAAAGGAUGACCCCAUCACUGACACCUGGGAACUUGUGAGCAGUGCAAGUGCUGGGGCCCAGCAAUGUCCUGAUGAGCUCUCUUGUGAUCCUCACGUCAGAAGUCUGAGAACCACUGAAUUAGGUGCUGAAGGCACAGACAAGGGCUGAGCCACACUGCAUCACAGUCUGGUCAGGAGGGUGACACCGACCUGCAUGGACACAGGCAUCACAGAGAAACUCUUCCAAGAUGUGCUAUGGAAGCCCUCAUUUUACAAGUGAGGAAACAAGGCUGAGAGAGACUGAACACCGUGUCUGAGACCAGAGCAGGACAAGCACAUGCCAGAGCACGAGCCACGGUGGAGCCCACCAGCCCUCUCCACUGCUACAGAGGUCGCCCUCCGUACCCCUGUCCAGGCCUCCCCACCCCUCCAUCCCCGUUCUGAUGGGGCACGGUAACAAACCCAAUACAAUGUGCUGCUACUUCAUAAUCCAUACAAAGCAUUCAUUCUGUAGUCAAUGGUGGGAUUACCCAUGUUUCCUGCCUUGACAGCAUCAGCUAGGGAUGCAUCUAUCUCUGAAGGAACGGAACUACGUUUUUGGAAACUUACACUAUCUGUAGGUUUCUUGCCACUAAACUUCUAUUUAAAUUAAAUGAAGACUAAAAAUUCACUAUGGAGAGGAAUAAAGUCUCUUGUUCCAUA